rnacentral:rRNA from 1 species
CAGCAGCCGCGGGAAUACGGAGGGUGCAAGCGUUAAUCGGAAUUACUGGGCGUAAAGCGCACGCAGGCGGUCUGACAAGUCAGAUGUGAAAUCCCCGGGCUUAACCUGGGAACUGCAUUUGAAACUGUCAGGCUGGAGUCUUGUAGAGGGGGGUGGAAUUCCAGGUGUAGCGGUGAAAUGCGUAGAGAUCUGGAGGAAUACCGGUGGCGAAGGCGGCCCCCUGGACAAAGACUGACGCUCAGGUGCGAAAGCGUGGGGAGCAAACAGGAUUAGAUACCCCAGUAGUCCUGUCUCUUAUACA